rnacentral:tRNA from 1 species
GGUGUUGUGGUGUAGUUGGUUAUCACGUCAGUCUAACACACUAACACACUAAAGGUCUCCGGUUCGAGUCCGGGCGAACGCCA